ensembl:lncRNA
GCCACCUAGUGGGACGACUAUAAUAAUGAUUGAAUGAGAUGAAAUGUUAGCUGGUGGUUAAAUGCAUGAAUUCCAUCAAUGUGACAUCACAUCGGACGUGCUGGUUUUAGGUGUUGGGCGUGGCUCGACACGCCAGGGUGCGAGGGCCCUCAUAUCGCUGCUUGCAGCUUUAAUUAGGGCCCGAGCACCGAGAGUGCGAAGGCCCUAUUGUAUCUGCUCCGUUUCUUAUUAUUAUUAUUAUUAUUAUUAUUAUUCAGGCAAAACAAGGGCCUUUUUGAGGGCUUUAACAUGCUCGAAAACUCAUGAAAUUUUG